CAGUAGCCACGGUAAUACGUAGGUGGCAGGCGUUGUCCGGAAUUAUUGGGCGUAAAGGGCUCGCAGGCGGUUUCUUAAGUCUGAUGUGAAAGCCCCCGGCUCAACCGGGGAGGGUCAUUGGAAACUGGGAAACUUGAGUGCAGAAGAGGAGAGUGGAAUUCCACGUGUAGCGGUGAAAUGCGUAGAGAUGUGGAGGAACACCAGUGGCGAAGGCGACUCUCUGGUCUGUAACUGACGCUGAGGAGCGAAAGCGUGGGGAGCGAACAGGAUUAGAUACCCCCGUAGUCCCUGUCUCUUAUAC
rnacentral:rRNA from 1 species